GAUGAACGCUGGCGGCGUGCCUAAUACAUGCAAGUCGAACGCUGGAAAUCUAGCUUGCUAGAUUGAAGGAGUGGCGAACGGGUGAGUAAUACAUAAGCAACCUACCCACGAAGACUGGGAUAAUCUCUGGAAACGGGGACUAAUACCGGAUAGGUAAUCGGAAGGCAUCUUCUGAUUAUUAAAGGUUAAAAACUCUGGUGGAUGGGCUUAUGGCGCAUUAGUUAGUUGGUGAGGUAACUGCCCACCAAGACGAUGAUGCGUAGCCGGCCUGAGAGGGUGAACGGCCACAUUGGGACUGAGACACGGCCCAGACUCCUACGGGAGGCAGCAGUAGGGAAGUUUCGGCAAUGGGGGAAACCCUGACCGAGCAACGCCGCGUGAGUGAUGACGGCCUUCGGGUUGUAAAGCUCUGUUGUAAGGGAAGAACGGUAGAUAGAGAAUAUCUAAAUGACGGUACCUUACCAGAAAGCCACGGCUAACUACGUG
rnacentral:rRNA from 1 species